AGGUACAAAAUCCAAGUCUCCAGGAGCAGUGCACUGGGGCUCCUGCAGGUUUAUUGGAAGCCUCAAGGACCAUUCCUGGAAUUCCUCUUCCAUUCGCAGCAACUGCUCUCUGAUAACACACAUAUGGGGGUGCGACAGGCCCGAGGAGGAACAACGCUGGUGGUUUCUGCUGGUGCAUACGCAGCUCAUUGCUGCCUUACCUGGGAAAAACAUCCAACCCAGAAUUUGGAAAAUUCUCAUUGUUCUGCCUCUCGCUGCAGGGUGGUGGGAUGUUGAUUCCAGAUGCUCCUGAAAGCUCUGGAUGAGACAGAAAAGAGAUCGAAUUAGAGCCAAGUUACAGCAACAAUCUUACCAACAUCACAGCAGCGAGCAGCAACAAAAUGAGAACCAGCAGGACGCAUGGUAUCAGGAUGUAGAAGAGGA